AGUUUUUAUUGACAAGUACGUCUGUAACUGGAAUAUUUAACGUUACUUUCUAAAUCUCUGGGUUUCAAUCAUUGAAAUAAAUAUAAUGCGGAACGCUGAAAUGAAUAUAACUGGAACGCUACCUCCAAUCGGAAAUUUGAAGUCAAACUUGAAGGUUAGUUGUAGUCUUCUCAAAGCUCAUGCAUGCGAAGAGCGUUCAAUCAGUCAAUCAUGAUAAACGCGCGGGUCUUGACCCCCAAUACGAACCAAUUUCAACAACAGAAAAUAUGUACAAGGGGAGAAUUUAUGAUGUCAACAAUCCACAUUUCUAGUAUAUCAGAUCUUUGUUGUUGGAACAAUACAACGGCCACUCAACUAAAGCCCCGUUCAAUUGGAAAACCAUGGAAAUUCGGGUUAGGGAAUAUCAAGAACAUUCGGGCAGAUUUAUCGGAAAAUAUAUUAAAUUCAGGUUAUCUAUUUCAUUAGAAUCUUCUGUAAAAAUUCGGGCACAUUUUCAACUGCCCCCCCUCCCAGGAAAGCUUCAGCCAACCCCGUACACCUAUGCAUGAAAGUAUUGAAUAGAAUCAAAGCUGACUCAUUAUAUAUAGCAGCCUACAUAACCAAACUGAGUCAGAUCAAAUAAUAUAUUACAUGCAACUAAGUUGGUUGAUGAUGGAUCAACAUUUUGGACGGAUUUGAACGGACCUUCGUUAGCAACGUUAGUUGGCCCUGCACGCUUGCAACGGUGAAUUUUUUUUAUUUUCGCUUUACAAGUAGGCGUCGAGAAAGUCUUCUAUAGUAUUCUACGUCAAAGCCGGCACUGGACUUUGGAGUUUUAGAUUUUCGAGACAUCCAGAGACAUCGCAAAUGAAUAACACAAACUGGGCUGCUAUUACCAAAACCACGGAUCGCUUCCUUGUUUUCGUGUCAAAACGUUCAGUAAAACGCGGAUACUGACGGACGGAUGACUUAUCUUCUCUUUAAACGUCAUUUAACAGUCAUAUCCGCGUUUAUCCAAAAGAAUAAAACGCCGAUUAUAGGAUAUGGUUCAAAAAACGUUUUCGUCAUAUACGUUACUCAUUACGUUUGGAAUGUAGUCGCAUUCCCGAAUAUUUGGCACGAAAACAUGAUAUACGUUUUCUGGGCAAGAGGAAGGAUCCACGGUUUUGCUAAGCAAUAUGAAGGAGUCAAAGUGGAAAGUAAUCUUCGUCACACGUUGGGUGAAUUUUGAAUUAUUUGAAAAGAAGGAAAGCUUUUGACAAAUUUACCCAACAUGGCUACGAUGACUCCAUGGGAGAUAGAGCACGAUAAGAUGAUAGAAUACGAUACAGUACGCAUAAUUAUCCAAUAUACUUGCUCCUAGAGCUAUUUGUUAUUUUAACUUCAUUAUCUCCCGGAGUCUCUGUCUCCAUAUAAUAAAAAUCUAUCUUCAAAAAUAUAUCUCUUUUUUAAGAUGAAUGAACAGCUUGGAUAAAUUUCUUCAAUCUUUGUAGUUUUUCUUGAGCUUGCUUUGUGGAUUCCACUAUCUCUGUCUUCUUCUGGAUUUGUGUC